GGCUUCUGUGGUCUAGCGGUAUGACGUGUCCUUCACAGCCUGCGUUAUCAGUAUGCGGACAAGGUCCCGGGUUCGAGUACGUUCUUCGGGUCU